UGGGGAAUAUUGGACAAUGGGCGAAAGCCUGAUCCAGCCAUGCCGCGUGUGUGAAGAAGGUCUUCGGAUUGUAAAGCACUUUAAGUUGGGAGGAAGGGCAGUAAGCGAAUACAUUGCUGUUUUGACGUUACCGACAGAAUAAGCACCGGCUAACUCUGUGCCAGCAGCCGCGGUAAUACAGAGGGUGCAAGCGGUAAUCGGAAUUACUGGGCGUAAAGCGCGCGUAGGUGGUUCGUUAAGUUGAAUGUGAAAGCCCCGGGCUCAACCUGGGAACUGCAUCCAAAUCUGGCGAGCUAGAGUAGGGCAGGGGGUGGUGGAAUUUCCUGUGUAGCGGUGAAAUGCGUAGAUAUAGGAAGGAACCCCAGUGGCGAAGGCGACCACCUGGGCUCAUUCUGACACUGAGGUGCGAAAGCGUGGGGAGCAAACAGG
rnacentral:rRNA from 1 species